GAGGGUAUAGCUCAGUGGUAGAAUGCAUGUUUUGCAUGCACAAGGUCCCGGGUUCAAUCCCUAGUACCUCCA
rnacentral:tRNA from 1 species